rnacentral:tRNA from 1 species
AUUUAGUUGGCAGAAUAGUGCUUUAAAUUUAGAAUUUAAUAAGACAAUUUUUAUUGUACUAAAUA